UGCUGCUUAACUUUGAAAACCAGAAGCAUUUUAAAGGUAAGAACACUUCUGGGAGGGUUGUUUUAGAAAGCAUUUCUGAUUUUUCUGGUACAUGAAUCAGCAGCCUUGUAAGGAACUGGGAUUGUGUGGAAAUCAAUUAGGUGGGUUUGUUUUAUUCUUUUUGGCUUCGUAAAUACACUGGCAACCUUAGAGUCUAACAAGACAACGGAGACUUGACUUUAGAAAGAAGAGGAUGAAAUGUAAACUCCAUGACAAAACUUAAAUUUGCAUUAAAAUGAGAGAGAGAGAGAGAGAGAGAGAGAGAGAGAGAGAGAGAAACUGACACUAAAACAUAAUCAAUUUCCUGGCAUCCGAACACAUGGACACUUUCCCAGAAUGCAGGGGAAAAAAAACCGGACAAAUAGAUUAAAAUGAAAAGAGAUUAAAAUUACAAAGUGACAAAGAGAAGCAUCAACUUAUAAUUAGUGUUCUGGAAGAUGAUCCGCAAGCAAAUGGAGCAGAAAUAAUGGCAGAGGAUGUAACAAAAGGGAGCUUUUCUAAAUGGAGAAAACAACACAGUUGCCAACUGAAGGGGUUGACUUGGGUUUCAGGAAAUGUUCAUAAAAAUAGCGCUGAACCUAGACGUGCUGUGUCAACAUCAUUCAAAUGAAAGUGAAGUAACAUCUGCAACCACCCCGCCAGACAAAAGAAGGGUGGCGAGUUGUCUACAGUUUCUUUGUAACACCAAACAAUGAAAGAUCAAAUAACAUCUACAGAGUGUCGACAGGAAUUCAUGUCCUUACGUUCUCCAAACUCUUGGCUUCUGAGCUGGAGUCAUUCAAUGUGUGGCUCAACUGUGUGCUCAUAGAAAGGAUGCCUAAAGCUAUUUGACACACAGACAACAGAACAGAUAAACAUCAGAGGGUGAGCCUUAAGCUCCAUGGAGAAGUUUCUUCUAUUGAGAAGGGAACAAAUCCUUUACCACUCUCUUCUAUUGGGGGCUCAAUAGAAAAAGCACAAAGCACUUCCAACUAGUAAAAAUCUGACCUGUAAUUAUGGUUCAGGACUGAAUAUCAAAGGGACCAGUGGGAACUGUCUACAACAACCAAGGUGCUGAUAUACAUUCCUGGGAUGCAGACUCGGGGCAAGGUGAUCGUCACAAGGCCUUCUUCCCUUUUGCUCAUGUGAGUUUGCAGCUGAUUACAAUUUGUCAUUCUUCGUUGCUCGAAAAAACCCACUGCUCUGAGAAAAUUCACACUGCUAUUUUUCCCUGUGCUUUCUGCUGUCUUUAAGAGACUCCCUUCACCCUUCCUUCCUGACUGCCACAAGGUGAUAAAAUGAGUAGCUUUCCUCUUCCUGACCUUUCCACAAGGAUCUUUUCAGCUCCUGAUGGAUCCAGAAAUAAUACACCCAAGUGACUAGAUAAACGCUCCUAAAAACAUGGAGCUACAGUAAACCUUUGCUUCUUGAUACUGAUGUCUGUCAAGUAUUACCUUACAGCACUGAUGGGUAACUAACUGUUAUGGAUUAAAAACUGGUGAUCAAUUUAACACCAGCUGGAUUACAUCAGCAUGGCACUGAGCGAAGAUGCUCCACCUGAGGAAAGUUGCCAGCAUAAAUAGGUGGAGGAGAAAGGAGAUGUUGAGGCUUUAAGGCAUUAUUGCAUUGAGGUAUUGUGGGUUAUCCUACAUGUUGCUGUUUGAGACAUUGGUUCUCCUGGAGAAGUUGUGGUUCUCCUGGAGAAGUUGUGGUUCUCACAUCAAGCCUUGCUUCCUGGCUCCAGAGGGGAAGACAUGUGCUGCUUGGUCUCCAGGAUGAACUCGGUCACGCUGGCUUCCUGGCAUAUACCCAACUGUGCUUGUUGUCUGAAGAACUUGGGUCCUCCAUGUCACUGAGGAUCAAUAUGGUGCCUUUCAGGACAGCCCUGAUCUUUGUUGUGAGUGUGACUUCUCGGCUGCAGCAUAGAACGCUCAACCUACCAGCACAGCUCCUUCACCCUGCUGGCAUGGACUUUCUGGCUUCCACCACUGACCUUUGGGUCUUCCUGGCAAGGAUCCAUAAAAGAGACUGGCGUGAGUCCUUCUUGUGGGCUCUGGACCUCCAGUUGAACUUGUGGGAGGUGUUGUCAUGAGCUCUGGAUUUUCAUCUGGACUCAUGUGGGACAUUGCUGUGGGAUUUAGUCUGUUGACUAAAUAUUCUAUGUCUUGCUGUUACAGAUAGAUUUCCUGCAUUUUCUUGUAUUAACUUCCAGUGACCAUUAUAAAAAUAGUAUUAUAAACUCCA